rnacentral:rRNA from 1 species
AUUGAACGCUGGCGGCAUGCCUUACACAUGCAAGUCGAACGGUAACGGGCCUUCGGGUGCCGACGAGUGGCGAACGGGUGAGUAAUACAUCGGAACGUGCCCGAUCGUGGGGGAUAACGAGGCGAAAGCUUUGCUAAUACCGCAUACGAUCUACGGAUGAAAGCAGGGGACCGCAAGGCCUUGCGCGGACGGAGCGGCCGAUGGCAGAUUAGGUAGUUGGUGGGAUAAAAGCUUACCAAGCCGACGAUCUGUAGCUGGUCUGAGAGGAUGAUCAGCCACACUGGGACUGAGACACGGCCCAGGCUCCUACGGGAGGCAGCAGUGGGGAAUUUUGGACAAAGGGCGCAAGCCUGAUCCAGCCAUGCCGCGUGCAGGAUGAAGGCCUUCGGGUUGUAAACUGCUUUUGUACGGAACGAAAAGCCUUCUUUUAAUACAGGAGGGUCAUGACGGUACCGUAAGAAUAAGCACCGGCUAACUACGUG